UUUUUUUAUGCUACAUCUUUUUUCAUUCGCUUUUUCCAAAGGAUGAGGAUUGAUUGAUUUGAAGUUGUUUGUCAGUACCUCCCGUAACAAUACCAAUGGAUUUAUUCCAAUCAACAGCGAAAAGUUUAUCCCACUGAGAGCCUGUUUUUUCUGCUCUAGAAAUUGUGUAAAUACUGCCGGAUGUAGCACGGACAUCCCAAACACGACAAGUGUUAUCGUGAGAGACGGAUGCAAACAUAUAGGGAUUUUCUGGGCUUGCCGAUAAUCCGGAAACUAAAUUCUUGUGGCCGGAUAAAGUAUGACUCACAAUUUUGUCGCUUCCCGCUCGAGGGUCGUGAACAACAAUGUGUCGCGCAGAGGAACCACAAAUGACUAAGUGUAGGUCAGUAAGUUUUUCCACGCAUAAAAGAGGAGCUUUGGUUAUCUUGGAAUCAACAUUUUGCCCAGUAAUGAGAUCCCAAGUCUUAAUUGUGUGAUCUUGGCCUACGGAAUAUGCAACACUUGGAUCAUCAGAAAAGACGAUAUCCAUCACCGGUCCAGUAUGCCCCUCACAAAGGAUCAGCGGAGAGCGAGCCCCAGCUUGAGGUGUGAAUUCUGCAUUUUUGCGACGUCUCUUUUUAGAUAUAGACGAGGAAAAGGACUCGAGGGUAGUCUCAGGAGACCUUUCAAAAUCCCAAAUUCCGACAGUAUUAUCCGCAGAAGCAGAAAUAAAAACGCUUGAAGAUUCUAAGGAUCGUACGCGCUCAACUAUAUCCUUGUGCCCUACGAAAAGAGUUUGAAGGAUACCGGAGCUUUUCUUUUCAGCAUCCAACAUUGAUUCUGGCUCUUCGAUCACCCAAUGAAAAAUUUUUUGAUCAAGUGAAGCAGUGAGAAAACUUUGAUUAGGUAUAUGCCAGGAUGCACUUUUUAAAGAUGAUCCACAUCCAGUUGAUUGAAAUUUUAUUUCACCACUUUUAUCCCAAACACGAGCUAUCCCAUCGUAUGAAGAAGUAAGAAUGGUAUCUGAGGUUAGUUGAAUACCAGAAAUCCAAUCGUCAUGAGAGAAAGAAGCUAAAUAUGCAGGUGGUAAUGUAGAUUGGAUAUAUUCAAUAUCAAGAAUCGACUCCGUAGACAAUCCGUUUUGAACUAUGUACUCAUCGAGAGUAGUUUUUAACAGCUGACCCUGAACCAAAAAAUCAAAGGGUGUUGGCUUUUCUAGUAAAGUUAGUAAGGAAAUAAAUUAAAUUAACUAAAAAAUCGCAAAAUUGUAUAGCAAUGAAGCAAAACGAGGAUGAA